rnacentral:lncRNA from 1 species
AAUACGCCUGUAAUGUUUUUAGAGUUUGGGAAAUAAUAAUUGCAUCUCAAAAUAAAGUUUCAUGUCAUCAACCAGACGUGAAGCCAAAAAUCUAGGGAUUUUUUGACCCUAGCCUAUGUUUAUAAUCUUCAAUGACAGUCAAGACCGACGAGUUUAUACAAUGGUGCAAUAAAGCGUUGAGUAGCAUACAGGCGUCUGUGGAUAUCCCUACAUUUGUUGGAUUUGUGCGGGACGUUGAAUCGGCGUAUGAGGUUAAAAAUUACGUUCGCCUGUACUUGGUGACACUAAGCAGAGCACGGAAUUUGAUAAGCAAUUCCUGGAGAAAUGAAGCAAGUGGCGAUCAGCGCAACGUUCUCAGGCACAAGCGGAUGAUCUGUGUAAGCCAGCGCUAGCAGUUAAUCCAAAUGCACCUGCACAAUUUCAGGAAGUAAAGGGAAAAUCCAAGAAACCAAAGAAGGGAUAGAUAUUCAAAGUAGAUAACAGAAUUCUUGGCUUCAGCGUAACCGCGACACCCGAUCGUAUUAAUGUAGGUGACCGCGAUUACGGCGAAGGAGCCUGAGCUGUUUCGUCAGUUUACUUCAUGGAAAUGAUGCGUCGCUCGAUUCAUCAAACAGUUCGUUAUUUAUUUAUUGUAAUCAAUACAUGCCAAACGGAUGCUGAGAGUCCCACCAUGGGUAUUUCUUAAGAUAUAUAAAGACUUUAUGAUCCACACAUGUGAAGAACUUAUCCCCCCAAAGGCGAUCAUUGAUGAUUGUCUUCAAUCAGGAUCGACCAAGCGUGGUGUUAUUUUCUUACAUUAUACACAAGAACUCCAUUGUACAUAUUACUCAAAGAAGAAUAUUUCAAGAAAGAAGGCGAAUUUACUUUUUCUUACGUACACGACAAUUAGGGUUGGAAACUGUUAUAACAUUUCAUCGUCGUUGCGUCAUUUAAAGUGCGACAGAUAUAAAGGAAGAUAAAAUAUGCCGAUCGAUAAAUUGUGCAUGUGUGGAAACAUGGUAGUCAAUAUGUGUAUGUAAAGGUUUUCAAUGAAAAUGAUGAUUAAAACAUACUUGUGAAGACGGCGGAAAUGACCGUAAAUUGUAAGCAUAAUAUUGAAUGUACAGUGCGUCAGAUGUUUUUACUAAACGUAUUUAAUACAACGUGAAUCCUAUGGAUUUCAUCCAGAAGAAAGAGAUUUUCCUUGUUUUCUUGUAUUACUCUUAACAAGUUCUACUUUAAUGUACAUUUCAAGCACGAAGAAUCUUUCACUUUUUAACAUUUUUUCGUCGUCAUACAAAUACUUAUAGUGAUAAAAUAUUCUACGCAGAAUUUUAAGCACACGUGAUGUUAAUAUAUCUGAUUAGAAUCCCGAUUAAGUUAUGUAUAUGUCAGAAAUUUUAAUCUUAUAUCGAAAGCAGGAAGUUGCGAUAUUAUAAUAAACAAAGAGAUAUGAUGGGCGAGAAAAAAUAGUGAUUCGACAUACUUUACUGAUAUUAUGAAAACCUUUAGAAAAUAAAACUAGCAAUUCAGCAUAUAGUAUUUCUCAGAAUUUUUGAUUUUGCAAUAACAGCAAUAGCAAUUAGAAAUAAUAU